rnacentral:rRNA from 1 species
AACAAGCAUAAGAGGUCUAGCCUGCCCAGUGACAAACUGUUCAACGGCCGCGGUAUUCUGACCGUGCAAAGGUAGCGUAAUCACUUGUCUUUUAAAUAAAGACUGGUAUGAAAGGCACCACGAGGAUUCAACUGUCUCUCUUAUUUAGUCAGUGAAACUGAUCUUCCAGUGCAGAAGCUGGAAUAACUACACAAGACGAGAAGACCCUAUGGAGCUUUAAACACAAGUCACUUACCCCAUUUUUUCAAUCAAAAGAUAAAACUUACUUAAUUGAGUAUGAAUGACCUAGCGUUUUUGGUUGGGGCGACCACGGAGAAUAAAAAAUCCUCCGAGAAGAAAGGACAACAUCCUAAAAAAAGAACGACAGUUCUAAAUAUCAGAAUAUCUGACCUGCUUGAUCCAGUCUUACUGAUCAACGAACCAAGUUACCCUAGGGAUAACAGCGCAAUCUACUUAGAAAGUUCAUAUCGACAAGUAGGUUUACGACCUCGAUGUUGGAUCAGGGCACCCUAGUGGUGCAGCCGCUACUAACGGUUCGUUUGUUCAACGAUUAAAGCCCUA